CAAGCGUUAUCCGGAAUCAUUGGGCGUAAAGCGCCUGUAGGUUGUUUAAUAAGUCUGUUGUUAAAGACUGGGGCUUAACCCCAGGAAAGCAAUGGAAACUACUAGACUAGAGUAUGGUAGGGGUAAAGGGAAUUUCUAGUGUAGCGGUGAAAUGCGUAGAUAUUAGAAAGAACACCGGUGGCGAAAGCGCUUUACUGGACCAUUACUGACACUCAGAGGCGAAAGCUAGGGUAGCCAAAGGGAUUAGAUACCCCUGUAGUCCUAGCCGUAAACGAUGGAUACUAGAUGUUGCGCUUAUUGUGCAGUGUCGUAGCUAACGCGUUAAGUAUCCCGCCUGGGGAGUACGAUCGCAAGGUUGAAACUCAAAGGAAUUGACGGGGGCCCGCACAAGCGGUGGAGCAUGUGGUUUAAUUCGAUGCAACGCGAAGAACCUUACCAGGGCUUGACAUACUGCAAAUUUUCUUGAAAGAGAAAAGUGCCUUCGGGAAUGCAGAUACAGGUGGUGCAUGGCUGUCGUCAGCUCGUGUUGUGAGAUGUUGGGUUAAGUCCCGCAACGAGCGCAACCCUCGUUUUUAGUUGCCAUUUUAUGGGUUCUCUAGAAAGACUGCCGGUGACAAACCGGAGGAAGGUGGGGAUGACGUCAAGUCAGCAUGCCCCUUAUGCCCUGGGCUACACACGUGCUACAAUGGCUAAGACAAAGAGUCGCGAAUUCGCGAGAAUCAGCUAAUCUCAUAAACUUAGUCUAAGUUCAGAUUU
rnacentral:rRNA from 1 species